rnacentral:rRNA from 1 species
GGUACCCACAGAAGAAGUCCUGGCUAACUCCGUGCCAGCAGCCGCGGUAAUACGGAGAGGGCUAGCGUUAUUCGGAAUUAUUGGGCGUAAAGAGCGCGUAGGCUGGUUAGUAAGUUAAAAGUGAAAUCCCAAGGCUCAACUUUGGAAUUGCUUUUAAAACUGCUAACCUAGAGAUUGAAAGAGGAUAGAGGAAUUCCUAGUGUAGAGGUGAAAUUCGUAAAUAUUAGGAGGAACACCAGUGGCGAAGGCGUCUAUCUGGUUCAAAUCUGACGCUGAGGCGCGAAGGCGUGGGGAGCAAACAGGAUUAGAUACCCUGGUAGUCCACGCUGUAAACGA